rnacentral:rRNA from 1 species
UAAAUAGUUCUAUAACAAAACAAUUCGCCAGAGAAACUACUAGCAACAGCUUAAAACUCAAAGGACUUGGCGGUGCUUUAUAUCCCUCUAGAGGAGCCUGUUCUAUAAUCGAUAAACCCCGAUAAACCUCACCAUCCCUUGCUAAUACAGUCUAUAUACCGCCAUCUUCAGCAAACAAUGUUAG